CCGACAGCGGGACAGCACGAACGAUGCUCCUGGAAGCUGUUUGGAGAUUGAUCAUGCAGAGUGUUAACAUAAUGGCGACGGAACUGGCAAACAAGAAGGCAGAGCGGGAGGCUCUCCGAGGGGUCAUACAACAAUGGAAUGCCAAUCGUUUGGACCUGUUCGAACUUUCGGAGCCAAACGAGGACUUGGAGUUCCAUGGCGUAAUGCGGUUCUACUUUCAAGAUAGCGGCCAGAAAGUCGCUACCAAAUGCAUCAGAGUUGCCUCGGAUGCGACCAGUCAGGCGGUGAUAGAAACGCUCAUCGAAAAAUUUCGUCCCGACAUGAGAAUGUUGUCCAUCCCAGAGUACGCUCUUUACGAAAUUCACGAGAAUGGUGAAGAGCGUAAGCUUGGUUUGGAGGAGAAGCCACUGUUGGUACAAUUAAAUUGGCACAUCGAUGAUCGUGAGGGACGCUUCCUGCUUAGGCGAAUCGAUGACAAGACGAAUGCGCAGGGCGUCGGUUUUUCUUCGGCCGAGGGUACCAGCUUUCGGAGGAAGCUGAGCAAACGAGAGAAGAAGCAGAUCAAGAAGCAGGAGAAGCUCAGUCGGCUGAAGAGCUUGGAGCAGGACGAGAACGCUGCGCCUGACGAUCAGAACGGCGUCGCCGAGAAGCUCUACACGGAACUGCCCGAGACCAGUUUCACGAGGAGCAUCUCGAAUCCGGAAGCAGUGAUGAGGCGUCGCCGCCAACAGAAGCUUGAGAUAAGGCUCCAGCAAUUCCGCAGCAAAAACGGCGGCCCCGACACGGGCGGCACAUUGAAAAUUUAUGGCGAGGCAUUGUGCAAGGACGUGCCAUACAAGACGCUGCUACUGAGCGUGCGUGAUUCCGCAGCUCAGGUUGUGCGAGAGAUGCUUUCUAAGUACGGCCUAGACAAGGUGGACCCACAAUUAUAUUGCCUUGUGCAGGUUAAUAGUGAGAACAUAAGUGGAAAUGCACACCAGGAGUAUAUAUUAGACGACGACGAGUGUCCUUUGGCAAUAUUAAUGAAUCAUCCUUCCACGCGAGGUUCUAUUAUGUUUCACGUGAGAAGGAGACCCGCGGAUUACAUGCCGCGGAAACGUAAAAAGAAACCUUCUGGGAAAUGGAACGAGUUAGAUCACAGGUACGAGGACGAGAGACUGCCGUUUCUGCUGGAGCUUAAUCCAGACGGCAGUGAUAUUCCAAACGGCGCCGGAGUGCGACACCGAUUACAGCCGAAUGUCACGGAAGUGGGUUCGGAGAGACCGAUCGGACCGCAAGCGGUGCAGGCACAAACGCUGACUCUGCCAGGACCCACGGUGAUGCCCAGGCAUUGCGUCAUUGCUUUUACCGAGAACAUUGUUACCCUCACACCGUGCUCCAGAGAUGCGCACACGUACGUGAACAACCAGAGGAUACAUCAAACCACCAUACUGCAGAAUGGAGCUAUCAUCAAGUUCGGCAGAAUGCACACUUUUCGAUUUAUUGAUCCCGCGCCUGAGGAUCGGAUUAGACAGAGACACGAUUCGAACAAGCAGAUCGACUAUGCUUAUGACCGACGUUCACCGGAUGCGACUAGCCAAGAUGUCAGCUCGGAGAAGUUCCGUCCAGGAUCCGGAACCCCGAAUGGCGGCGGUCAGACCCCGAGUCAGGCUCAGGAGCGCGCGACUCCGUCGAGUCCCUCAAAGUCCGCCAUCAUCGCUGCUCGUAGUCCCCGUAGUCCCACACACCCACCGGAACCCACGCACAAUUACGAGACCACGUUCGAUCUGGACGGCAACGUGGAGACCGCCAGUCUAAGUAGUAGCAGAGACGGCAAUAGGCUUUCGCAAUACGAUCGGCAACCUCGAGGCACGGAUCCGAUCCUUCCGGCCGUACUGGAGUUCCUCGAGGAAACGGAGGAGACGUUCUUCCAUGCUGUUAUCACCGACGUGGAGCCCUCGGCACCGCAGUUCAAACUGGCGCCAACUUACACUCUGUACCUGAGCGCAAGGUACCGCGCUAGCACUCAUUACAGACCAGAACUGCAGCCUACGGAGAGAGCGCACAGGCUUACCGCUAUGUUGGCGAACGUCGCCACGAUGAUUCAACGCGUUAUCCAGGAACGUUACAUGGACGCCUCGUCGUUGGCAUUCUGGCUGGCGAAUAGUUCGGAGCUGCUGCAUAUGCUAAAAAGCGAUCGACAUGUGGGCGCAUUCUCCACACGGGCGCAAGAUAUCCUGAAGGAAGCGGUGCACGCGGCAUUCGGUUCGCUGGUGCGCUGCGUCACCCUGGAAUUAACGCCAGCCAUGACGCAGUUCAUGGCAGAUGCGGACGAACCGGCGAAGGAGGCCGGGGUCCUGCAAAUCUUCUCCAACACGAUGGCGCUCCUGCGACGGUGCCGGGUGAAUGCCGCGCUUACGAUACAACUGUUCAGCCAUCUGUUCCACGCGAUCAAUGCCACUGCUUUCAAUACUCUGGUUUCCAACGGGAACUUGUGCGUUCGAUGGUUCGGACGCAGGCUGAAGGCGAGAUUGAACGCCCUGGAAACCUGGGCCGAGAGACAAGGCCUAGAACUCGCCAGUCAAUGCCACUUGGCGACAAUUAUGCAGGCGACUCACUUGUUGCAAGCUCCUAAGUACAAUGCCGAGGAGCUAGCGACUCUCAGUUCGACCUGCUUCAAGCUGAAUUCCCUGCAGGUGAGGGCCUUGCUACAGAAGUAUCAACCGGCCGCGGACGAGCCCAGGCUGCCCGCUGAAUUGAUCGAGAAUGUUGUGAGGGUAGCAGAGAGUGUGGCAGACACGCUCGCACGUGCAGACGGCCGCGAAAUAAGACUGGAGGAAGAACCUAUCCUAGGAUUGUCCUUAUUACUUCCCGAAGAUGGCUACAGCUGUGAGAUAGUAAGAGGUGUCCCACCAGGACUAGCAGAAUUUCUGGCGCCCUUACAACGAGACGGUUUAUGUCGGAUGGCGGCCCAACCCACCAGCAGUGGCUAUUGGACUAUUUACAUGAUAGAUCACAACAAUUUGCGUAGUCCCAGCGCGAUGAGUAAUCGAUCGGGCGGUUAUAUCAGCCACAUUAAUCAAAAUCAGGCUCAACCAGAGAUACACGUCAUUAAAUUGCACAAGAGUACCAAUGGCAUGGGCUUAAGUAUCGUUGCGGCAAAAGGUGCAGGACAGGACCGAUUAGGCAUCUACAUCAAAAGCGUUGUUGCUGGUGGUGCCGCUGAUGCUGAUGGUAGAUUGACAGCGGGCGAUCAGCUGCUCAAAGUAGAUGGACAAAGCUUGGUCGGAAUUACGCAAGAAAAAGCUGCUGAGUAUCUUGUACGCACUGGCCCGAUCGUGACAUUGGAAGUUGCAAAACAGGGCGCCAUUUAUCAUGGACUUGCAACACUGUUAUCUCAACCUUCUCCAAUAAUGACGAGAGCGUGUAAGACUCGGCCGAGGUCCGAGCACUUAGAGCAGCCGAUAGAAGCAGCGGAGACGGCCGGUGGUGGUCAGCCAGCCGCGUCACACUCAGUGGGCGACUUAUUGUCCUUUCCGAAGCAGGCGGCGUGUCAGGAUUUAACUCAACCAGGUGCGAUUCCAUCUCAGCGCAUAGUUGAGACAUCUUUUUACCGGAAUUUUCCACGUGUCGACUAUAACGAGUACCGCUAUCCCAUGCGACAAGAUGCAUUCACCGUUUUCCGUCCGAGGGGUGCGUACGCCAGUGCGUACCCUGUCGAGAGACAGUACGGCGCCUUCGACGACAGGGAGUACGUCUACCGUCCUUCCACCCCUACCGUCUCUCCCAUGCGUAUCCCGCGACCUCACAUGCCCUGUCCCUUGAUUUCCAUCACGAGCGACAACGAGAUUUCGUCCGUCAUUUAUCAAGACGAGAGCGACGAGAGUGACGAUAAGAUCGUCGAGGAGGACGAGGAUAAUGCGGAACAAGGUGGAAUCAAUAAUUCGAGUUACUCAACUUUGAGUCCAUUUGAGAGGAUCUCUCCGCCGCGGGAAUACGCGGAGCCCGCGCAAGAUUACAAGUUGCUGGCGCCGCCGCUGACUUUCGAUAGGAAUUUUUACGACGCUAUACCUUAUAUCGAUCAGAACGACGAUGCCAACCUUGCGGAAGCCUCUGAAAGCGUUCAGGCAAAAUCGAGAAACAGGUAUGAACGCUACAAGGAGGCUGCUUGCAACAGCAAUUCCAAUCUUAGAGAUUCUCAAAAGCGCAUGGACGUAGGUCGCAGUGAGCAGACUCUCAAUAUUGCAGACUCUGAUUUACGUGUGCAACCGGGCAACUUCAGUUCUUCGGCAAUCGAUACUUACUCGUUGUCCGUGAAUGAAUCUGCUUCGUCUGUCAGGCAUGCUACAAAUGGGUCAAGUACAAAAUCUAGAAUGGAUGACUUUCUGCAUCUUCGUGACGCGAGUAAUAGCACGAGACACGCGUUAAGUGUUGAGAACGAGCAAUACGAGAACAAAUCGGACGACGUUACCAAUUCGGAAGAUUGUGCAGAUGAGUCCAGUUCCACGAUUAACGACGAAUGCGCGUCGAUUAGGGUUGACGGGAACGUAGAAGAGGAAGGAAUCUCGACUCCCAAGAUGUAUACUAUAAUGCCGGAGUUGCAUCUUGAUCUGACUGGGCUAAACAGCGACGUGUCCAGCGAUGAAUCCAAGACGGAGAAAUGCUGGAAGUCACCUGAAGAAGUACGUUUAGGAGGUGGUCGAGUUGCAGCGUUGGCGAAACACUUCUCAAAACUUGGCGAUGCCGGUUUGAUCAGGUUCAAGCCCACCAAAUUGACCGAUUCCCGCCAGUUUGUGUCGGAACCGGAGAUCGCAACGCCGGAGAAGAGCGACGAGCGUUUGUACGGACCUUGCCGUGCGCAAAAGGAGUAUAAAUCGGACUCGGACCUGACGAGAGACGAAAACUCUCAAGUCGAUUCGGAUGGAAGACGCAAAGUCAUUCUGUUCGAUGUCGAAACAGGAGAGCUUGCGAUCCAGGAAUGUAGGUUUCAUCGUUGCGGCGCUAAAUGGGUAACUGCUGCUAGAAUUCCUUCAUUGAAUGAUUUCUUUACUACGAAGAACACAACACUUGCAGAAGUUGAAGAUUGUAACGACAUGGCAACUGAUAAUAGUAAAUCUCAGAAUUGUAUUAAAGCUGAAAGUCAUGAAAACGAACCAACUAACAAUAAACUUUCCGUGGAACAACAGCAAGUGAUCGUUGAACAACUUGAGCAGUUCUCAAAUCUGGAUAAUACUGACGCACCUUUGUUUAUACCAGAUCAAAAGGUGGAGCAAACUUUUUCGAAAAAUGAGAACGAAGUGUCGGCUUCUGUUAAUUCUGUUAAUUUUGUUAAAGAUGAUAGCUUUCAAAACAGGAAGCAGAAAGUUACCUCUUCGUCGUCCUCUUCCGUUCGUUUGCCUUCUCGCUCUUCCAUUGUGUUAGCACUUUCGAAGAAUGUCGCAAAAAGUGCUCCUUCGCUCUCGGAAAACUCUAAGGUUCAGUCUUGUGGAAAACGUGCGAAAUCUUGCCUCUUCAUAGACCUCUCUCACUCUUCCGCUAAGAAUUGCUCCAGCAACGGUUCCUCGGAACAUUCAUUGAUGUUUCCGCCGCGCGCGAGCACGUAUUCACGAUUGAAGGAUGACAAGUUGAAUAUUCUGCGCGUGCGAAUCGCUAGACCUUGUAGCAGCGAGGACAAUCUGAUCAGUGCUGCAAUUUGUCAACAGAAAAUCGAGGAAGCUAUGGAUCGUCGCGAUGAUUUCGUUAAAUUAACGCGCAGCUAUGACAGUAUCUUAAACAACAAAUUUCUAUUGGAUUCUACCGAUCAAACACGAUCGUCCGAAAGCCUCUACAAAAGCGUUGAUUUACCUGACGAGUCUUGUGACAGAUCAGGCUUGGCUGCCAAGCAAGAGGCACAUUGGUACCGUCAUCGUUCUCUGGAAGAGCUGAAGCCGAAGCGGGCAUCGAAGAAACAAGGCAGUUUGAUAAACUUCACGUCAGUUCAACCUGCUGCAGUUCAGACAAGAUUGAGUAAAUCAUUUGAUGAUAAAUUAAACUCCGAAGACGGAGAUGAAAUGCGAUGGAAUUGUCAUGGAUCGCUCGAGGAACUGAAAUCAAGUAGGAGAGACAGUCGGACGGAUUUGACCGAUUCAGGCCGAGUUGCUAAAGCACAAAAAUUCGACUGGACGCCAAAGAAAAGAUUCCGCACGAAGCGAGGGAGCCACGAUCGCUUGAUAGGUAGUGCUCUUGAAUUGUCGCGCGUAAACAGAAUGAAAGAUGAGGAACGACAAGAGUGGAGAGUCGAGCGAAAAUCUCGGAGCGAGUUGGAUAUUCCGAGGCACAAGUCCGACUCGGAGAGGGACGGUUGGAGCUUCCGCGAGAUCAGUUCGCUGAAAGAUGAUGACCAAUCCACCUUGCGUCCUCGUCGCAUGAGCGAGCGGGAUCUACCAUCGCGGCUUGGACACGAUGCCACUCCUCAGCAAAUCCACAGCAGCAAGUCUGUUCCAGCAUUGCAUAACAUAGGUACCGAGGCCAAACAGCAACAUGAGAUAUUCAAUCCAGGAUACAGCAGGGCUUCCUCCAGCAAUAGCGUCACGCCGCCCGUCCAGCCACCUCCUAUGGCGGCAAUCAGUAGUGCGACUGCUUUACGUUCUAGAUCGAGUCACAACUUACAUGAUCCCAUGAGAAUCGGUACUUUACCACCCUCCGGCUUGGUCAGCAGGCAGCAAUCGUCGCCCAAUUUGAAUCCGAACGCGACGCACACGAAUGUACCGUCCAGCGUGCAGAAUACAGAGGCGGAGAGAUUUUACCAGAAUCUGAGCAUUUAUCGCAAUCAGGACCCGGCAGUGAAGCAACAAAUUAGUCCACAACAGUCAGACGACAGAAACUCACAGCACAUCCAGAAGAGUUCCCUGAGGGGUUCGCAAAACUCACUGAAUCGUCCAUCGACCUUAGAAAUCGGCGGCCACAUGCGAGAUCGCCCAACGUCCGCGUACAUCAGCCAGGGUCAGCCACAGAGUUACUCGGCGGUCAGCAGUCAGAUGCAACAGCAGAGCGGUGGCCUGCCGCCGCGUUCCCAGUCGUCGCGUGACAUAAUUCGCCAAGAGGCGAAGAUGCAAGAGAUGCAAGAGGAGGUCCGUCGGCGCGAACUGCGCGGCGGUGCGCCGAUACUCAAUCAGCACAGACCGCCGAUGUAUAACAUUGGCGCUCGCGUGGCGGCACCUCCUCCUCAGCAAAUGUCAGGCGUGUUGAACGUACGCUCGUCGAGACCCGGAGGCUCCAUGUCGAACUUGGGCAUAACUUCCAACUAUGCCGUGAGACAAAAUGUGCCCGGCUACAAUUAUCCAGAUACUCAGUAUGCCCACUACAACAGUGCGCAGUACGGCCAGUACGGUCAGUACAAUCAGUACCCCAAGUAUCCGGCUGCUAGUGGCCAAUACGGACCAAUGAUGCUUAAGCCGAAAAGCGAAGCAAUGACUCGCGGUCAUCAGUCGAUGCCCGGUGAGAAUCUGCUCGGCAAAGACGCGAGUAACCAGGAGGCGAAGCCCUAUGCUGAGCAGAAUCGACAUUUUGCUGGCUCGCAGAAUAGUUCGCAUUAUCCGAACGGCAAUCUAGAACAGCGCGUCGAUCAGUACACUAACGACAUCAUCAACCGGGCUCAGAAUGGAGACGGUCAUUCUAUGACAACGUCGGAGGCGCCGCCGACGAGACCGGCUUUGCCGUCCGAAGACACCUUUAACGAAAGCCCGCCACCACCACCGCCAAACACCUCGACGCAUCCUCUGUAUAACAAACCAGCCGACACAAGGUAUACCGCGAGCAUGCAAGAUCCACCACGAGGUAGUUACUACCCUGCGGGAGGAAUCAGUGCCAUGCAGCAACCGCGUCAGUAUCAAUACAGUGCGACGAACCCUUGGCAGCGAGAGGAAAGGGAAAAGGAACAGGCUCGUAGGAGAGAAGCCGCCCGACAAUGGCGAGAUCAGCAGAUCGCUGAAUUGAGCGUGCUGACGCACCGAACGCAACAACAAGAGGAGCAGUUGCGAGCACUUCAAUUGGAAAGGGACUUCCAGAAGCGAGCGGAAGAGGCUGCCAAUCAGGAUGACGAUGAGGAAAGCAACGAUCUAGACAAUGAGAGCGCACAGCGCGUUCAAGGCUUGUUGAGGAUGGCAGCCAGUCAAGAGAGGGCUGUCCAAGGGAGCCAGCAACCACCGAUUUUAUCGAGAACGAACACGGGCAACCAAUCUAUGAGGGGUGGUUUACCUCUGCAGCCAAUUAACAGCCCACCGGUCAGUCAUGCUCAUGUUCCGCCUACGGUAUCUCUGAAUGUCGGGAUGAGUGGUCAGGAAAACAGUAGCUUGCACGUACAACCGAGUCCGCAGCAACAGCAACAGCAGCAAACGGCAUUGGCUCAAAUCGAGGAGCAGCAAUUGCACGUGACGCCCAAUUACGGCGCGUCUCUCAGCCACUUUGGCUCCGGUCAGAAGCCUUACUCCGUCGGCGCGCCGUCCAUAGAGGAUAGAGAAUUGCAACGAAGGAUGGACGAGGCAAAGCGCAAGCAGAUCGAAUUCGAGGAAAACCAGAAGAAGCAGGAAGAACAGAUGCACGCGCAGCAGCAAACGUAUCAGCAGAAUCAACACUCGAGGAAUCAGCAGCUGCAUCCUGAUAUGCUGCGCUUGGACAAUUUGAUUAUCAACGGGCCUAGUGUGCCUAUGUCCUCGCAAAAUAACAUAAACGAUGCACCUCCGCCACCGGAACGCGGUUCCAGUUAUGCCGUUAUGUCUCAGCAAAGUGCUCUCAGGUCAAAUGGCUCGACCGCAUCCAAUCUACCUCCCAGUUUUCAGCAGCCGGCAUCCAUGAAAAGAGUCUCUUUCCACGAUUCGAAUGCGAAUAGUGAGCCUUUGCUGCGAAAUGUACAGUCUGGAACAUCGAACCCAUCGUCGAUGUCGAUGGACACCAUCAGAGAGGAUCCCAAUAUAAACAAAAUUUUAUCAACGACGCGGAGACUCUAUUAGCAUCUCCGAAGACGCCGGAAGGAUCCGGGACUUCAUUUACUGGCGCCACCCCUGGAGUGAUCGGUGCUCAAGAAGUAUAUAAAGAUCCGAGACAAAAGCGACUGGCGGAAAAGCAAAAACAGCAGCAGAACUCACAGAUCGGCGCAGUGCCAGAAAA
rnacentral:misc_RNA from 1 species